ensembl:lncRNA
GGGCAGUGUGGUCUGUGGAGGAGGGGAUGAGGGGCAGUGUGGUCUGUGGAGGAGGGGAUGAGGGGCAGUGUGGUCUGUGGAGGAGGGGAUGAGGGGCAGUGCGGUCUGUGGAGGAGGGGAUGAGGGGCAGUGUGGUCUGUGGAGGAGGGGAUGAGGGGCAGUGUAGUGAUGGGAGGAGGGGAUGAGGGGCAGUGUAGUGAGUGGAAGAGAAGAUGAGGGGCAGUGUAGUGUGUGGAGGAGAAGAUGAGGGGCAGUGUAGUGUGUGGAGGAGAAGAUGAGGGGCAGUGUGGUCUGUGGAGGAGGGGAUGAGGGGCAGUGUAGUGUGUGGAGGAGGUGAUGAGGGGCAGUGUAGUGUGUGGAGGAGGUGGUGAGGGGCAGUGUGGUCUGUGGAGGAGGGGAUGAAGGGCAGUGUAGUGUGUGGAGGAGGUGGUGAGGGGCAGUGUGGUCUGUGGAAGAGGGGAUGAAGGGCAGUGUAGUGUGUGGAGGAGGUGGUGAGGGGCAGUGUGGUCUGUGGAGGAGGGAUGAAGGGCAGUGUAGUGUGUGGAGGAGGUGGUGAGGGGCAGUGUGGUCUGUGGAGGAGGGGAUGAAGGUUAGUGUAGUCUGUGGAGGAGGGGAUGAGAGGCAGUGGAGUCUGUGGAGAAGAAGAUGAGGGGCAGUGUAGUGUGUGGAGGAGGGGAUGAGGGGCAGUGUGGUCUGUGGAGGAGGGGAUGAAGGGCAGUGUAGUGUGUGGAGGAGGGGAUGAGGGGCAGUGUGGUUUGUGGAGAAGGGGAUGAGGGGCAGUGUGGUCUGUGGAGGAGGGGAUGAGAGGCAGUGUAGUCUGUGGAGGAGAAGAUGAGGGGCAGUGUAGUGUGUGGAGGAGGGGAUGAGGGGCAGUGUGGUCUGUGGAGGAGGGAUGAAGGGCAGUGUAGUGUAGUGUGUGGAGGAGGGGAUGAGGGGCAGUGUAGUGAGUGGAGUAGGGAAAGAGGGGCAGUGUAGUCUGUGGAGGAGGGGAUGAGGGGCAGUGUAGUCUGUGGAGGAACGGAUGAGAGGCAGUGUAGUCUGUGGAGGAGAAGAUGAGGGGCAGUGUGGUCUGUGGAGGAGGGGAUGAAGGGCAUGUAGUCUGUGGAGGAGGGGAUGAGAGGCAGUGUAGUCUGUGGAGGAGAAGAUGAGGGGCAGUGUAGUGUGUGGAGGAGGGGAUGAGGGGCAGUGUGGUCUGUGGAGGAGGGGAUGAAGGGCAGUGUAGUGUGUGGAGGAGGGGAUGAGGGGCAGUGUGGUUUGUGGAGAAG